rnacentral:rRNA from 1 species
ACGUGGUAUCCUGUCUGAAUAUGGGGGGACCAUCCUCCAAGGCUAAAUACUCCUGACUGACCGAUAGUGAACCAGUACCGUGAGGGAAAGGCGAAAAGAACCCCGGCGAGGGGAGUGAAAAAGAACCUGAAACCGUGUACGUACAAGCAGUGGGAGCCUCUUUAUGGGGUGACUGCGUACCUUUUGUAUAAUGGGUCAGCGACUUAUAUUCUGUAGCAAGGUUAACCGAAUAGGGGAGCCGAAGGGAAACCGAGUCUUAACUGGGCGUUAAGUUGCAGGGUAUAGACCCGAAACCCGGUGAUCUAGCCAUGGGCAGGUUGAAGGUUGGGUAACACUAACUGGAGGACCGAACCGACUAAUGUUGAAAAAUUAGCGGAUGACUUGUGGCUGGGGGUGAAAGGCCAAUCAAACCGGGAGAUAGCUGGUUCUCCCCGAAAGCUAUUUAGGUAGCGCCUCGUGAAUUCAUCUCCGGGGGUAGAGCACUGUUUCGGCAAGGGGGUCAUCCCGACUUACCAACCCGAUGCAAACUGCGAAUACCGGAGAAUGUUAUCACGGGAGACACACGGCGGGUGCUAACGUCCGUCGUGAAGAGGGAAACAACCCAGACCGCCAGCUAAGGUCCCAAAGUCAUGGUUAAGUGGGAAACGAUGUGGGAAGGCCCAGACAGCCAGGAUGUUGGCUUAGAAGCAGCCAUCAUUUAAAGAAAGCGUAAUAGCUCACUGGUCGAGUCGGCCUGCGCGGAAGAUGUAACGGGGCUAAACCAUGCACCGAAGCUGCGGCAGCGACGCUUAUGCGUUGUUGGGUA